rnacentral:tRNA from 1 species
AACAUGAUGGCUCAGAUGGUAAAGAGUCUGCCUGCAAUGCAGAAGAUCCGGGUUCAAUUCCUGGGUUU